UGGGGAAUAUUGCACAAUGGAGGGAACUCUGAUGCAGCGACGCCGCGUGAGUGAAGAAGUAUUUCGGUAUGUAAAGCUCUAUCAGUAGGGAAGAUAAUGACGGUACCUACAUAAGAAGCCCCGGCUAAUUACGUGCCAGCAGCCGCGGUAAUACGUAAGGUCCGAGCGUUGUCCGGAAUCAUUGGGCGUAAAGGGUACGUAGGCGGGUAAGCAAGUUAGAAGUGAAAUCCUGUAGCUCAACUACAGUAAGCUUUUAAAACUGCUCAUCUUGAGAUAUGGAAGGGAAAGUGGAAUUCCUAGUGUAGCGGUGAAAUGCGCAGAUAUUAGGAGGAAUACCGGUGGCGAAGGCGACUUUCUGGCCAUAAUCUGACGCUGAGGUACGAAAGCGUGGGUAGCAAACAGG
rnacentral:rRNA from 1 species